UGUUAAAGGCGGAAGCAAGAGCCGAGAACAGGGUGCUUAGCAUUGGUUCUGAAUUUAGGGAGCUGACCGUGACACUAUGUAUAUCUGCUAUAUACAUAAAAUAUGUUAGAGUUUAUAAGUGAUUUAUAAGCUGUGACCUUAGCAGUCAAUCUCUUCCCUUGCCUGUUGCAGAUCAAAACAAAAACCAAAGCGCAGUGUGUGACAUUCUAUAAUAAUAAUAAAAAACACAUAAAUAUUAGCCGCAAGAAGAACCUGAUCUUCAGGGAAAAUGAAACUGGUAAAACUCCAAAAGAGACCAGAGCACCAACAUCAAGAAAAAGGCAAAUCCAAAGCAGAGAAGGCCAAGAGGAGAAUGCCAAGAAAAUAUCUUGCAAUGACUUCAAUCUGAACUUUGUUGAAGAGAAGAAACAUGAAAAGAGCAAAAGAAAAACAACACAAGAAUGAAGAGGGGGGGUGGUUGGUUUACUACAGAAACCAAUCAUAUAUUUUCUUUUAAAGAGAAGCAUGGUACAAGUUGAUUGGUUGAAAGUCAUUGGGGCUAAUUCACUAAGAUUUGUAGUUGC